AUUUCCUCUUUUUACGAACUCAGUGUUGUAAAAUUGGUCAAAUUUACAGACUUUUCUGCCAAACAUAUUUGAUCCAUGAUCAAAAUGAAAUACGCAUGUGCACU